rnacentral:rRNA from 1 species
GCUUGAGCACAAACUAAGAUACUUCCGCCCGAAAAUUACGGGUGAAAACCUAAAACUCAAAAGACUUGACGGUGCCACAACCUACCUAGAGGAGCCUGUUCCAUAAUCGACAACCCACGAUAAACCUGACCACCCCUUGAUUUUUUACCCCAGCCUAUAUACCGCCGUCGCUCAGCUUACCUUUCAAAAGACUUAAAGUAAGCCAAAUAGUACAGCACUAAUAAGUCAGGUCAAGGUGUAGCUUAUGGGGUGGAGGAAAUGGACUACAUUAUUUAAAUUAAAUAACACGAACUACAUUAUGAAACACAAGAAUGAAGGUGGAUUUAGCAGUAAUUUGAACAAGAAUAUUUAAAUUAAUACCAGCUCUGAGACAUGUACACA